AGUCGUAACAAGGUAACCGUAGGUGAACCUGCGGUUGGAUCAUUAACAAUGGUUUUCAAACCUUUUAUCUGUGCACUUUUUGCUACCUUGGAGAGCUGUGAGGCUCGAAGAGGUAGCGUCUGUUCAUCUCUUGCCGAGACUCUAGUCUCAGCUUGAGAAUUUUUAAACCAUGUAUUGAAUCGAGUCUUGAAUUUGUAUUAAAAUGAAAAACUUUUGACAACGGAUCUCUUGGCUCUC
rnacentral:misc_RNA from 1 species